rnacentral:rRNA from 1 species
GACGAACGCUGGCGGCGUGCCUAAUACAUGCAAGUUGAGCGCUGAAGGUUGGUACUUGUACCAACUGGAUGAGCAGCGAACGGGUGAGUAACGCGUGGGGAAUCUGCCUUUGAGCGGGGGACAACAUUUGGAAACGAAUGCUAAUACCGCAUAAAAGCUUUAAACACAAGUUUUAAGUUUGAAAGAUGCAAUUGCAUCACUCAAAGAUGAUCCCGCGUUGUAUUAGCUAGUUGGUGAGGUAAAGGCUCAUCAAGGCGAUGAUACAUAGCCGACCUGAGAGGGUGAUCGGCCACAUUGGGACUGAGACACGGCCCAAACCCCUACGGGAGGCAGCAGUAGGGAAUCUUCGGCCAUGGACGAAAGUCUGACCGAGCAACGACGCGUGAGUGAAGAAGGUUGUCGGAUCGUAAAACUCUGUUGGUAGAGAAGAACGUUGGUGAGAGUGGAAAGCUCAUCAAGUGACGGUAACUACACAGAAAGGGACGGCUAACUACGUG